rnacentral:rRNA from 1 species
AUGAACGCUAGCGACAGGCUUAACACAUGCAAGUCGAGGGGCAGCACAGGUAGCAAUACCGGGUGGCGACCGGCGCACGGGUGAGUAACGCGUAUGCAACUUACCUAUCAGAGGGGGAUAACCCGGCGAAAGUCGGACUAAUACCGCAUGAAGCAGGGGCCCCGCAUGGGGAUAUUUGCUAAAGAUUUAUCGCUGAUAGAUAGGCAUGCGUUCCAUUAGGCAGUUGGCGGGGUAACGGCCCACCAAACCGACGAUGGAUAGGGGUUCUGAGAGGAAGGUCCCCCACAUUGGUACUGAGACACGGACCAAACUCCUACGGGAGGCAGCAGUGAGGAAUAUUGGUCAAUGGGCGCGAGCCUGAACCAGCCAAGUCGCGUGAGGGAUGAAGGUUCUAUGGAUCGUAAACCUCUUUUAUAAGGGAAUAAAGUGCGGGACGUGUCCCGUUUUGUAUGUACCUUAUGAAUAAGGAUCGGCUAACUCCGUGCCAGCAGCCGCGGUAAUACGGAGGAUCCGAGCGUUAUCCGGAUUUAUUGGGUUUAAAGGGUGCGUAGGCGGCCUUUUAAGUCAGCGGUGAAAGUCUGUGGCUCAACCAUAGAAUUGCCGUUGAAACUGGGGGGCUUGAGUAUGUUUGAGGCAGGCGGAAUGCGUGGUGUAGCGGUGAAAUGCUUAGAUAUCACGCAGAACCCCGAUUGCGAAGGCAGCCUGCCAAGCCAUGACUGACGCUGAUGCACGAAAGCGUGGGGAUCAAACAGGAUUAGAUACCCUGGUAGUCCACGCAGUAAACGAUGAUCACUAGCUGUUUGCGAUACAGUGUAAGCGGCACAGCGAAAGCGUUAAGUGAUCCACCUGGGGAGUACGCCGGCAACGGUGAAACUCAAAGGAAUUGACGGGGGCCCGCACAAGCGGAGGAACAUGUGGUUUAAUUCGAUGAUACGCGAGGAACCUUACCCGGGUUUGAACGCAUUCGGACCGAGGUGGAAACACCUUUUCUAGCAAUAGCCGUUUGCGAGGUGCUGCAUGGUUGUCGUCAGCUCGUGCCGUGAGGUGUCGGGUUAAGUCCCAUAACGAGCGCAACCCCUACCGUUAGUUGCCAUCAGGUCAAGCUGGGCACUCUGGCGGGACUGCCGGUGUAAGCCGAGAGGAAGGUGGGGAUGACGUCAAAUCAGCACGGCCCUUACAUCCGGGGCGACACACGUGUUACAAUGGCGUGGACAAAGGGAAGCCACCUGGCGACAGGGAGCGAAUCCCCAAACCACGUCUCAGUUCGGAUCGGAGUCUGCAACCCGACUCCGUGAAGCUGGAUUCGCUAGUAAUCGCGCAUCAGCCAUGGCGCGGUGAAUACGUUCCCGGGCCUUGUACACACCGCCCGUCAAGCCAUGGGAGCCGGGGGUACCUGAAGUCCGUAACCGAAAGGAUCGGCCUAGGGUAAAACUGGUGACUGGGGCU